rnacentral:tRNA from 1 species
GGGCGCGUUCCGGAGUGGCCAAACGGGCCAGACUGUAAAUCUGGUGGCUCUGCCUUCGUAGGUUCGAAUCCUACCGCGCCCA